rnacentral:lncRNA from 1 species
ACAAUCAUGGUGCUUACAGAGCACUGGAAGAAUUCACAAUGGCACAUUGUGGGAUCUGCGUUUACUCACAGUGUGUCUACUUGUCAUGGGCACUUUUCCAUAUGUGUCUGCACAGACUGAAAAGGUGCUCAAUGUAGUACUGCCAUGUGAAGACUCCCUAUUCAGAAAGCCUGUUCUCUGUGAGAAAAUGAUAAAGAAAUUCAACAGAUCUUCAGUCUCCAGAGAAUGGAUUUUGUGAAAGACAAGACCAGGGCAUAUUUCUCGCCAUAGAAUUAUUAUAACAACAACAAUACCUGAAGCACGUCUGCAACAAUCAUGAUAUGACUGUGACUUCUGCUGCUACCACAAUGACUAACGUAAACAAAGGCACAGAGAAGUUAAUGGCUUACCCAAGAGUACACAACUCAGUGGUGCAAUGGAUACCUGAGAUACAAGUAAAAAGGUUCCUCUUAUUACACUUCCAGAGGCAGAAUUUCUAGCUUUUUUCUCUCAACUGCCAACUCUGUUCCCACGCUACUGGGGCUCUAUCUCCAACAACUCCACUGAGGUCCCAUCCCACCUCACUGAUCUUCAGAAGCUGAUCGUAAGUGACAAAUUGGGGAAACUGUAGCAUAAAGGUAAUAGGGAAGCAGAGGAACAGGAUUCUUGGCACUCAUUGCCAAACUCCGCUCCAUAAAACCUGUUACCGAUGAGCAAAAUGGUUAACAGUUGCAUAUUGGCAGAAGUGGAACAGGAUAUUCUCCAUAUGUGGAUUUCACACCAGACCCCUGAGCCAUGAACACAAAUACUCUGAGUUGUCCCAUUUAUAAGCAAGCAUGUGAUUCUUCUCAUUUUGCAGUGCAUUCUCUAAUGCAAUUGCAUUGCAUCAAGAGUCAGGCACGUUGAUAGGAAUCCCCAAAUCCAUAACAAUUUGGAGAUCACUGGUGGGGCCAAGUAAUGGUUAUACUGUAAGAUACCCCUAAUCUCCUGGGGCUGUCCUUUGCUUCUGCAAUUUCCAGGGGACCCGGCCCAAGGACCACAGCCAAGUUCUGAGUAUCAUGAAGUAGCCUUUCACAGAAUGGAUCAAAAACGACUUCAUGUUGCAAGCAGUAAUUUAUUCUUGCCACAGAGCAGUCAUCAUAUCAAGAUUAAAGACACACGUGGGAGGCUUUGAGAUUUCUCAUUUUUCUCACUCAGUAUGCAGUUCUUCCUUGAAAUACAAGUUUGGGGAACCCAGGUUAUUUGGGGUUACAGAAUCCCACAAGGUUAAAAAAAUUCCUUCCAAAGAGAAGCAAAAAGUCCAGCCCAGCUGGAAAUAAAAGUGGGUCUCAGAGGCUUCCUCUUUAGUGCGGUUUCUUUGUAGACUAUUACAAGUUUAUUUCCAGAAGCCAUUUGAAGGGAGCUAUAUACUAUGACCUGUAUUU